UCUGGGAUUAGAUACCCUGUUAUUUAAAAUGUAAAUUAUUUAUUAAAGUAGUAAUAGUUAUAUUCUUGAAACUUAAAAAAUUUGGCGGUAUUUUAGUCUAUUCAGAGGAACCUGUUCUUUAAUCGAUAAUCCACGUUGGACCUUACUUAAAUUUGUUUAGCAAUUUAUAUACCGUUGUUAUAUUAAAAUAUUUUUGAGAAUAAUAAUAUUUAAUAAUUUUUAUAAAAAUUUAUAUCAAAUCAAGGUGUAGUUUAUGUUUAAGUAGAAAUGGGUUACAAUAAAAUUAUUUGUGGAUGUAAAUAUGAAAAAUUUAUUUAAAUUGGAUUUGAUUGUAAAAUUAUAGAGAUUAAUAAUUUGAUUUUAGCUCUAAAAUAUGUACAAAUCGCCCGUCACUCUCU
rnacentral:rRNA from 1 species